ACAUUAGACGACGAUGACAGUAGGACUCUGUCUAUCGAUGUUAACGAUUGCGGGUUCUAUCUGACUUGUUCGGCUAGCUUUUUCUCCGCGUGGAAUACUUGUCGAUUUUUUUAAAUCGAAGGACACAGGUUAUUUCCUUCUUCAGCUAUAUAUUUAAUGUUCAAAUACUUCGUUUUAACUAUCAAGGGACAUAAUAGUGAGAAAAUCAAGAAAAACGGACUAAACAUAUUUCUCAGCCUUGUGAUCUGGAAAUGCUUUGAUUAAAGAAUAUGCGUCUA